AGUGAACGCUGGCGGCAGGCCUAACACAUGCAAGUCGAACGGCCGCACAGUAAGAGUUUGCUCUUACGGGUGGCGAGUGGCGGAUGGGUGAGGAAUACAUAGGAAUCUACUUUUUCGUGGGGGAUAACGUAGGGAAACUUACGCUAAUACCGCAUAUGAUCUACGGGUGAAAGCAGGGGAUAUUCGGACCUUGCGCGAUUGAAUGAGCCGAUGUCGGAUUAGCUAGUUGGCGGGGUAAAGGCCCAGCAAGGCAACGAUCCGUAGCUGGUCUGAGAGGAUGAUCGGCCACACUGGAACUGAGACACGGUCCAGACUCCUACGGGAGGCAGCAGUGGGGAAUAUUGGACAAUGGGCGAAAGCCUGAUCCAGCCAUGCCGCGUGAGUGAUGAAGGCCUUCGGAUUGUAAAACUCUUUUGUUGGGAAAGAAAAACAGCAGAUUUAUACACCGCUGUUCUGACGGUACCCAAAGAGAAAGCACCGGCUAACUUCGUG
rnacentral:rRNA from 1 species